ensembl:lncRNA
GUCUCCGACUGAUGACGUAUCACGAGUACACGAGAACGCAAGUACGCACAAGUACGCAUAUUGAUAAACGCCCUGUGUUUUCUGACAGAGAACCUACGGUGGCCCUGAAGUGCAAAUCACACCAACAACAAAAUCAAAUUGAGAAGCACAAAAACAAAAUUGAGAAGCACAAAAACAAAACUGAAAAUCACAAAAUCAAAUUAAGAAGCACAACAACAAAACUGAGAAACACAAAAACAAAUGGAGAAUCACAAAACAAAAUUGAGAAGCACAAAAACAAAACUGAGAAUCACAAAAUCAAAUUAAGAAGCACAAACACAAAACUGAGAAGCACAAAAACAAAACUGAGAAUCACAAAAUUAAAUUAAGAAGCACAAAAACAAAAUUGAGAAGCACAAAACAAAACUGAGAAUCACAAAAUCAAAUUAAGAAGCACAAAAACAAAAUUGAGAAGCACAAAACAAAACUGAAAAUCACAAAAUCAAAUUAAGAAGCACAAAAACAAAACUGAGAAGCACAAAAACAAAACUGAGAAUCACAAAAACAAAACUGAGAAUCACAAAAUUAAAUUAAGAAGCACAAAAACAAAAUUGAGAAGCACAAAACAAAACUGAGAAUCACAAAAUCAAAUUAAGAAGCACAAAAACAAAAUUGAGAAGCACAAAAACAAAAGAAGAAUCACAAAAACAAAUUGAGAAGCACAAUUACAUUAAGAAAACCGGAAAGGGUAGGUACCAGUCGGCAACAGGAGACAUCACUGAUUGGAUGUCCGCGCUGUUCGUCUUUGGAACCGGAAGUUACUCUGUGGCGCAUUUCGUUUGAAGAAGAACGGCGGAAUGUUUUGUCCUAGCUGUGGGAAAAAGCUGGUUGAGGAGUCACCGAACUUUUGCAGCGGCUGUGGCGAGAGGCUUCAUCACGCAUCUUGCAUCGGAGACACUUCACUCCCAUCGAAUAAAUGUCGGCUUGAUGACCAUUAAAAAGGGUGGUUUGAAGGCAUACCGUGGAAAAACUAUUUUCCUAACAACAGACCCUGACGCUACUGCCACAAGUCUGCUCAAUCAAGCUGUUAAAAAAAAUGAAGGACUUUAACAAAGAUCUAAAAGAUGGACCUUUCCUUCUUCUGUAUCCGGAUGGCACUGAGGUCAUUACUGUCCCUGGAACACAAAGACCAUUUACACUUGAGGCUUAUAAGGCUGAAGUUGGCAAGCCUUAUCAAAGAAUCACUGUUUUCAUCUGCUUGAAGAGUGACUUUGAGGAUGUUGGAGAAAACUCAGACUUGUCUGACUCUGACCCAGAGAUUGUUAUUAAAAGGCCCUCUGAGUUUGAUCUUGCUGAUACACUGCCAUGGGAAUUCCAACAUGAAAGCAGUCCUUUACAGAAAGCGGCAGAAUAUGAGAAGGGUGCUGGGGAUCUUGUGCUUGCUAAUGAAGUACAACAGGUCAUAGAUUUGGAAGAAGAAAACGAUACAGGCACUACUGAAUGCCUCACUGUGGAGAGCUCCUGUUACAGAAACUACACACAGCUGUUUGAUCCGAUUGUGAUUGAUGAUGAAGAUCCUACUCCUAACGAAGCCAAAGCUGAGCCCCCAGAAGAACCUGUAGACCCCAAUUUGCAGGCACAUGAAAUUAUUGCAAAUUUGACACUGGAACUUGACCACAAGAAGGUCAGCAGGUUCAAUAUAUCAAGGUCAGCUGUAUGGGAUGGAGCUGUUAGAUGAAAUCCAUCAUCAUCAAGUUUAAUGAUGAUGCUGGCAGCUUUGAAGAAGGUUUGGAUACAGGUGGCCCGAGGCGUGAAUUCCUCACACUUCUUAUGGGCAGUCUGAGAAAUCGCCCAUCUUUGAUGGACCUCCAGAAACCGUUAUCUUGUAUAUAAUUCAAGAGGUGGAUGUUUUCUCCGUAAUUAUUACAAUGAAAAUUUUAAUAAAAAUUGGCUUAUUUUUUUCAUUAGCAUAUUUAAUAGCAAUUAAC